UGGGGAAUAUUGCACAAUGGGAGCAAGCCUGAUGCAGCCAUGCCGCGUGUAUGAAGAAGGCCUUCGGGUUGUAAAGUACUUUCAGUCGGGAGGAAGGUGUCAAGGUUAAUAACCUUGGCAAUUGACGUUACUGACAGAAGAAGCACCGGCUAACUCCGUGCCAGCAGCCGCGGUAAUACGGAGGGUGCAAGCGUUAAUCGGAAUUACUGGGCGUAAAGCGCACGCAGGCGGUUGAUUGAGUCAGAUGUGAAAUCCCCGGGCUUAACCCGGGAAUUGCAUCUGAUACUGGUCAGCUAGAGUCUUGUAGAGGGGGGUAGAAUUCCAUGUGUAGCGGUGAAAUGCGUAGAGAUGUGGAGGAAUACCGGUGGCGAAGGCGGCCCCCUGGACAAAGACUGACGCUCAGGUGCGAAAGCGUGGGGAGCAAACAGG
rnacentral:rRNA from 1 species